rnacentral:rRNA from 1 species
ACUCCUACGGGAGGCAGCAGUGGGGAAUAUUGCACAAUGGAGGAAACUCUGAUGCAGCGACGCCGCGUGAGGGAAGAAGGUCUUCGGAUUGUAAACCUCUGUCUUCAGGGACGAUAAUGACGGUACCUGAGGAGGAAGCACCGGCUAACUACGUGCCAGCAGCCGCGGUAAAACGUAGGGUGCAAGCGUUGUCCGGAAUUACUGGGUGUAAAGGGAGCGCAGGCGGGAAGGUAAGUUGGAUGUUUAAUCUACGGGCUCAACCCGUAUCAGCAUUCAAAACUAUUUUUCUUGAGUAGUGCAGAGGUAGGCGGAAUUCCCGGUGUAGCGGUGGAAUGCGUAGAUAUCGGGAGGAACACCAGUGGCGAAGGCGGCCUACUGGGCACUAACUGACGCUGAGGCUCGAAAGCAUGGGUAGCAAACAGGAUUAGAUACCCUGGUAGUC